UACGUAGGGUGCAAGCGUUAAUCGGAAUUACUGGGCGUAAAGCGUGCGCAGGCGGUUAUAUAAGACAGUUGUGAAAUCCCCGGGCUCAACCUGGGAACUGCAUCUGUGACUGUAUAGCUAGAGUACGGUAGAGGGGGAUGGAGUUCCGCGUGUAGCAGUGAAAUGCGUAGAUAUGUGGAGGAAUACCGAUGGCGAAGGCAGCCUCCUGGGCCAACACUGACGCUCAUGCACGAAAGCGUGGGGAGCAAACAGG
rnacentral:rRNA from 1 species